rnacentral:rRNA from 1 species
CGCGUAGGAAUAUACCUUUUUGUGGGGGACAACUUUAGGAAACUGAAGCUAAUACCGCAUAAUAUCUUCGGAUAAAAGCUGGGGACCUUCGGGCCUGGUGCAAAAAGAUUAGCCUGCGUCCGAUUAGCUAGUUGGUAGGGUAAAGGCCUACCAAGGCGACGAUCGGUAGCUGUUCUGAGAGGAAGAUCAGCCACACUGGGACUGAGACACGGCCCAGACUCCUACGGGAGGCAGCAGUGGGGAAUAUUGGACAAUGGGGGCAACCCUGAUCCAGCAAUGCCGCGUGUGUGAAGAAGGCCU